GAAAACAUUUAUAUUUACAGCCAAUUACACAAGUCGGUUUUUUUUUGUUUUCUAAUUUUUUUUAGAAUUUUUUUGUCGAAGACAAUGGGCAUAAAUCUGAGUUAAUUUCUUUUACCCUAGUGCCUAAAAAUUGAGAAGUCUAUACCAGUACAUCACACGGGCAGCGAAAAUCUCACACAGUAGAUAAUAGAGCACAGAUGCCCUUUAGCCGCAAAGUUCCCUUCUUUAGCUUCCGUAGCGGUGGUAACUCGCUUUUAAUCUCGUCUGAACCUAUGCCUUCACUUUCUGGCUUCUUCCUGUUUGUUCUCCCUGCCUGCGCUUUCUCAUUUGCCCUAUGAAAAAUUCUCUUUAAAAAUAGCGUGAAACUGCCUUAAUUUCUUCCUCCUCCUAGAGAUUCUUCUGCCCUUUUCUGCAAACGUGAUGAAUGAGGGUUUGAUGUCAUUCCUCAAUAAUGGCAUGGUAAACGAAAACCCCCUUUUCUUCGAAGUGCCUAUGCCCUUGCCUUUACUCUGUCUCCUGUGGCGUUCUCUGCAUUCAAGUUUUUCUAUUUCCACAAUGAUGUGAUAUCAUGGUUACCUGUGUUCAAAAGAUGCCCUGAAGUGCAGAUUAUAGCAUGUGAAAGAGCUCGCUUUGGUUUGAACUCAUUGGAUGUUGCGUGGAUGGCUGUAAUCCUCGGCAUGAGUGAAUAAAACCUCAAUAGAAUAUUAUCAUUACUGCCUUAUUACUUCUACAGGGAAUUUUUAGGACUGCUUAGAGUAGAAUAAGAAAAUUACUUAUUUGUUCCAAUAUUAUGCAACAUUUUAUCCAUGAUUGGGUAGAGUAAACAUAGGACUGGAUCUUCAUAGAGAGCAGAAAGAAAAGUAGAGCUUCAAACAGCAAUAAAAAAUUGGAUUAAGCUCA